rnacentral:rRNA from 1 species
GUGUCAGCCGCCGCGGUAAUACGAAGGAUCCAAGCGUUGUCCGGAUUUACUGGGUUUAAAGGGAGCGUAGGUGGACUAUUAAGUCAGUGGUGAAAGCUUGCAGCUUAACUGUAAAAUUGCCAUUGAAACUGAUAGUCUUGAAUAUGGUUGAGGUGGUUGGAAUAUAUCAUGUAGCGGUGAAAUGCUUAGAUAUGAUAUAGAACACCGAUUGCGAAGGCAGAUCACUAAACCAUUAUUGACACUGAGGCUCGAAAGCGUGGGGAUCAAACAGGAUUAGAAACCCCGGUAGUCC